rnacentral:miRNA from 1 species
CUCACAACACUUGCUAUUUGGG